GGCAACAGCAAUUCAACAAAAUACCAAUAUAUACAAGCCAAUCAAGUCCAGCAUAAUUGUCAUUUUGGAUGCUGUUAAAUAGUUCAGUUGGAUUUGCAGAUGAAGUACUUGAAAAGGUCAGUUUCAAUUACAGUAUGGUAUAGUUGUGUAUUGUUACAGGGCUUGAAAUGACGUUUCCAACGUUCCCGAACAUGCUGAUUAAGCAGUCAUGAUUUUCUGCUGAUCAAAUGAAAAUCCAAUCAGUAUAUAUUUAUAGGUUCUGUUUAUAUGUUCUGUGAUAAUGCUGUAGUAUUGCAUGCAGGGUACGAAUUAAGGUGUCAAAACAGCUUCGCAAAAAUUUUGGUAAAUAAAUACUGCCUAUUUCAAAACCAUCCUCAGAAAUACCGUAUGAAAAACUAGUUACAUAUUAUUCUGACAUUGCAGAGUACAACGAAAUUCAUUGUCUCGAACGAGUUCGAAUCCCGCUUGAGACAACAAAUUUUUCGUUGUACUCUGCAAUGUCUUGCUGUACUGGUGAUUACUAUAUUCAGCUAGCAUAUUAAAAUGCAAGACAGGUCACUUUGUUAAAAAUGUUAGUUAUAAAUUAAGCAACAAACAAUACUUAAUUUGUGUGUUCACAAAUAAUUUUCACAAAUAAUUACUAGUAACAAGGCCACCGAUGUUCACAAAAAAACCCUGUUUACUCUUUAUGUAAACGUUUCUCAUAUAUGCGCGUACCCAAGAAGUCUAAGUAAAAUCUAAACUGAUUUAAAUAUUACUUACAAUAGGAAACAAUUGAAUAAGACCGAAAGGCCGAAAUAUAUGUGUCGUAAGACUAGCCAUGUGACAAAAAUAAAGAAACGUGCGCCAAUUACUGGCAUUUUGACAAACUGCAACAUUUUACUUUUAGGCAUAAAGUAAACAUCCGGUUUGUAGUAUUUAGCCGCCCUUAAUAUUAACUGUGAUUGAUUACAGCAUAAAUUGGGAUCAUAUGACUACAACCUGACUACAAAACAAAAAUCAAAGCCUCUUCAAAACAAUAUAAACUGCAGACAAACAAAUUAAAAGCAAAAACAGCGCGUUCGGCUCUCUCGUAUUCAUGUUCGUUAUAAUGUUUAUGCAAUAUAUUUUCAAAAUUUUCACUUCGCAUUUUCCCGUUUGCCAAGCAAUUUCGCUUCGCAAAAAUGUACAGAUGCUUCGCAAAUUGCGAAGUGCGAGCCGUUAAUUCGUACCCUGGCAUGGUGUUUGUUAAUGACAUUAACCCAUUAAGCGCCAGUGCUCUCCCCUUGACAAGUAAAAUCGUCUGGCAUUAGACAGAGUAAAAUACUAAAGUAGGGUGCAUCAGGGUGCAAUGCGACUCAAUGGGUUAAAGGCACAGUUCAGCCUUUUGGACGAUGGUUUUUAAGGCGCAUUUCAGCCCUUUUAAUUGAAAAAACUAACUAGGAAAAUCAAUUAAGCAUAAUUCAAGAUCACCAAACUCAAUUAGUUUUUUCAAUUAAAAGGGCUGAAAUGCGCCUUAAAAACAAUCGUUCAAAAGGCUGAACUGUACGUGCCUUUAACUGGACACAAGGGCAGAUAGGCCAGUUAACUCAUUAAGCGCCAGCGCUCUCCCCUUGAUGAGUAAAAUCGUCUGGCGUUAGACAGAGUAAAAUACUAAAGUAGGAUGCAUCAGGGUGCAAUGCGACUCAAUGGGUUAACCAUGUUUUUGAAACAAUAGUUCUUUCCAAUCAAGAUGAUUGAGAACCUUGCCUCUCUCGUGCCCUGUGUUAGCAAAGUGCUAUAAUUAUACAAGAAUGAUAUGAAAAGUUUCCCUCAAUCAUCCGCAGGGUUUCUAUUUCAGCCAAAUUGUUCAAAGCUGUUUUUAUCAGUUGAAAGUAAUUGAGGGGGAAGGUUUUCAACAAUUUAAGAAAGUUUGGAUUAGUUUGAGGUGGUUUAUGAAUUUUUGAAAAAAUUCCUGCGGUCCCCCCUUUGCAUUUGAUCAAUUUUUUUAAAACCUGUUUUUAUUGAUUGAAAGUAAUUCUUUUCAUGAGAGGGAAGGUUUUCGACAAUUUUCAGAAACUUUGGAGUAGUUUGAGGUUGUUUUUGAACUUUUGAAAAAUUUCCUGUGGUCCCCUCUUUGCAUUUGACCACAUUUUUAAAAACAUGUCCUUAUUGAUUGAAAGUAAUUAUUUUGGACUAGUUUGAAGUGGUUUUUGAAUGUUUUGGAAAAAUUUCAUGUCAUGUUUUAAGUGGCAAUCAGUUAAUUAAGUUAUAUUUUCAUAAGUACACCUAAAUUCAAAUAUAUCUAUUCCUAUAUUGAUUAAGUUUAUUUUCUGUUCUCAGUCAUUCUCCCAGUAUUAAUUUAUUGUUCCGUCAAGAGAACAAUGAACUUCUCAUGUCAGGCAUCAUCGAGAUACUGGAGGAGGAAUUUCUUGAUAGAGUGAGUAUUUUAUUUUAUGCUACAUUUUGAGGACACCUAUUUCUUCUAGUUGGUUCACACCAGAAAUUUUGAUCACAUGCCAAGGGGGAACACCAGAUCACCCCAAUUACACACGUAAAAACGCACAAGUUGUAACAAGUCCGCAAACAAUUUGUUACAAGUCUGUUCACAAGCUGUCAACAAGUUGUGUUAAAUACAGGGUUGUCAACACAAGGUUGUAACAAUCUUGUUAUAUCAAGCAGGAUUGGCAGGUUUGCUCAAUAAUUAGGCCAAACACCGUCACACUUAAGGCCUUUGUUUUCUUUGUCUUGCCCUUUUGUUUUCUUUACUCAUCAAACUUACCAACCCUGAUAUCAAGCAGUUAACUAUUGUAAUGGACCAAUUGUUGAGAACAACCUUGCAACAAGUCUGAUAAUAAUUCAACAAGGUUGUUACAAGUUGUUAACAAGUUGAUCUGAAGCUGUUGACAACUUGUGACAAGCUGCAGUUCGAAUACAUCUUGUUGACGGCUUGACUUGGCAGACCUAUGUGACAUUUCUCUGUGUGUAGGUUUACAAAUGAAUGAACAUAUUUUUCAAUUAUUCAAAAUUUACCCUAAAUCACUCCAAACUUUCUGGAAGUGAUCAAAAAUUUCUUUCAUCAAAACAACCACCUUCCAUUUAUAAAACCAUGUUUUAGGGGUCGGGGAGGGGGACCACAACAAACCCAUGCACAUUUUUGAGAUAUUUUUCAAUAAUUCUCAAAUAUUCCCCCAAAUCACUCCAGAUGUUCUGGAAGUGAUCAAAAAUGUUUUCUUUGGUUCAAAUGAUGACUUUCAACUUGCAAGAACAUGCAGAGGGGGGGGGAUGCCUCCUGUUCUUGAGUUAUUUUUCAACAAUUCAAAAUUUUCCCCAAAUCACUCCAACAAAACAUGUUGUACAAAAUUUGAAAAUUUCGAUUAAAUACCAAGAGCGGACCACAGGCAUCCUCUCAGUUUUCAAUUUUUCAAACCAUUGAUUCAAUCUAAGUAAUUGUCAUAUGAACUAAAUAUAAUGUUUUCUUUUCCAGGCAAGACAGAUCACUUUAUGAAUGUGACAUGUUUUCUAAGAACAGAUUUGUGGGUGACAAGAAAAGAAAGCUUAUCAUUCAGACAUUACGAGAAGCCCUAAUAAUGUUAACAUACAUUAGACAAUGAAUGGAGACAUAAAUCCGUCUGAGGCAUUGAGAACUAUAACCAAACAAACCUUACCAAAUCAUGAGGUAUUAUACAAAGUAUAACUUUCUUUCUGUAUAUGAUAAUUAAUGCAAGUAUUCACCAUAUUUUAAAUAAAAAAGUUAGAAAAUCGGUC